rnacentral:snoRNA from 1 species
UUCACAGACCUGGAGCAGUUUGUCUGCUGUUCAGGUUUCCGCUACAGAAAAAAUGUCCUUGUGCUUUCUGUCUGUCUAAUUGUGACAGCCAAGAUUGAAUAGAGAAAUAUAGGG